GCAAACAGGAUUAGAUACCCUGGUAGUCCACGCCGUAAACGAUGUCUACUAGCCGUUGGGGGACUUGAUCCCUUAGUGGCGAAGCUAACGCGAUAAGUAGACCGCCUGGGGAGUACGGUCGCAAGAUUAAAACUCAAAUGAAUUGACGGGGGCCCGCACAAGCGGUGGAGCAUGUGGUUUAAUUCGACGCAACGCGAAAAACCUUACCUGGUCUUGACGUCCUGCGAACUUUCUAGAGAUAGAUUGGUGCCUUCGGGAACGCAGUGACAGGUGCUGCACGGCUGUCGUCAGCUCGUGUCGUGAGAUGUUGGGUUAAGUCCCGUAACGAGCGCAACCCUUGUCCUUAUUUGCCAGCACGUAAUGGUGGGAACUCUAAGGAGACUGCCGGUGACAAACCGGAGGAAGGUGGGGACGACGUCAAGUCAUCAUGGCCCUUAUGACCAGGGCUACACACGUGCUACAAUGGAGCGUACAGAGGGUUGCUAAGCCGCGAGGUGGAGCCAAUCCCAGAAAACGUUUCGUAGUCCGGAUCGAAGUCUGCAACUCGACUUCGUGAAGUCGGAAUCGCUAGUAAUCGCGAAUCAGCAUGUCGCGGUGAAUACGUUCCCGGGCCUUGUACACACCGCCCGUCACACCAUGGGAGUGGGUUGCAAAAGAAGUGGCUAGUCUAACCUUCGGGAGGACGGUCACCACUUUGUGAUUCAUGACUGGGGUGAAGUCGUAACAAGGUAACCGUA
rnacentral:rRNA from 1 species